rnacentral:lncRNA from 1 species
AUCCUUCCAGAGACUGCCCUGAGCUUAUUGUAAUAUUUCCAUGAAUGGAAAAUGUAUUUUUCUUUGAGGAGAAGAAUAACAACAACGUGCAAAGAUGUUAAUGUAAAACUAUUUUUUUCUUUAUUGAAAAUACAUCUACAAAGUAAUGCUUCCCAGUCCACACUGAGUGCAUGUGUAUGCAGAGCCUGUGAUGGCUUGGCGAGAGGAUGGGCUCCCCACAGGACCUUUCCAUAAGAAAUGGGCCACUGGAACAGGUCCAGAAGGAAAGAAAAGAGUGAUGGCAACUGCUGAUUCAAGAAGAUUGUUCUGUUUCAGUUUUUAUUUUAUUUUAGAUGUACCCCUUCUCCACAAUGAGUUUCUCAUACACGCAUCUAAUGAAAGACGCCUGUUCUCAACCCUCCUAGAAUUUCAAGAUGGGCAAACUUACAAGGAAAGCAAGGAUGAGUGCUAAUAUGUACCAUAUUCAUGUGAAUAUAAGUUUUUUUAAUAAGAAAAUCAAACUCUAAAAAUACAAUAUACUUCAUAAUUACAGAUUGAAAAAUGGGGCCGUGUGUCCUAGGCAGCUGCCCACUGCUGAGUCCAGGGUACACUGCCAUCCUAGGA